UACGGAGGGAGCUAGCGUUGUUCGGAAUUACUGGGCGUAAAGGGCGCGUAGGCGGCACCGCAAGUCGACUGUGAAAUCUCCGGGCUUAACCCGGAAAGGUCAGCCGAUACUGCGGGGCUAGAGUGCAGAAGGGGCAACUGGAAUUCUCGGUGUAGCGGUGAAAUGCGUAGAUAUCGAGAGGAACACCUGCGGCGAAGGCGGGUUGCUGGGCUGACACUGACGCUGAUGCGCGAAAGCUAGGGGAGCGAACGGG
rnacentral:rRNA from 1 species